UGCCACACGCCAAUCUUAACCUACACAUCGAACUGCCUUUUUUUUCUUUUUUUUUUUUUUUUCCCUCCCAGUUAGAAGGCAGAAAUAUGUGAACUGCUGAGAGAGGUGGGUACUUUUUGAAGCAAUCAAAGGGUUGAAAGAUUGAUUCGGCAUGUAGAUUGGAUUUAAUUCGAAGCAGCUUUGUUCUAAUGAGGACUACUGGGAUACAAAGACGGCAGCCGCUUAUGGCCACCAGUUGGGAACUUCGACUCGCUGCAGCAACCUGUCAAGAAUUCCAAGAAACUGCCAGGGUAAAAUUCCCUGCAGGGUACGUUGGCUGAAGCCUGUUAAUUCCUCCUGAGGUCAGUGGGUACUGGGUGCUGGGCAGCACAGCCUCUCCUGGCCGGGCACGGCGGUCGCGUGUGCUCCGGCUGCUUCCCGAGAGAUAGAGACAGUCUUGAAGAACGUGGGCUUUCCCACAGGAAUUUGGAAGAUGCCCAUGCCUAAGACAAUGGUGAGGAUUGGGCCAAAAUCCAGAUCCAGCCUUGAUUCCUUCAUCCAAGUAAUCCUGUGCUGACCCACGGCUGCUGAUGGAUCGCAGCGACGUGGACCUUCCUCCCUCCUCGCUGCCCUGCCUCAGAUCACCAGGAGGAACUGAGAGUACUCAAGUUCUUGUUAUCCAAUUCCUGCUGACAACAGAGGAAGAGGCACAAGUCAGCUCAGAAAAUGAACGACUAGAAGGCUGGGGACACAAGCUGGACCUGGAAGAAGAAACUUCCGUGCAGAGAUGUGACUGCAGUGUCAACACUGUGCCAGGGUUUCUUUACAGAUGAAAACUACAGAUUAUUCUAAAAUCCAGUAACAACUCAAUACCAGCAA
rnacentral:lncRNA from 1 species